UACGAAGGGAGCUAGCGUUGUUCGGAAUUACUGGGCGUAAAGGGCGCGUAGGCGGUUUAGUAAGUCAGAUGUGAAAGCCCCGGGCUUAACCUGGGAUGUGCAUUUGAUACUGCUAGACUAGAGAUCGAAAGAGGAGAGUGGAAUUGCGAGUGUAGAGGUGAAAUUCGUAGAUAUUCGCAGGAACACCAGUGGCGAAGGCGACUCUCUGGUUCGAUACUGACGCUAAGGCGCGAAAGCGUGGGGAGCAAACAGG
rnacentral:rRNA from 1 species